GUUCAAAGCAACCGGUUCCAGUACCGAUGGUCACGGGUUCAACUCCCGGA
rnacentral:tRNA from 12 species